UGGGUGCUCUUUAAUAGAGAAAACGACUGGGGUAAACAUCCAACUUUUUUCCCGCGAUGAAUAUACCAGGAGCAUAUACAUCUGAAAAGGCUGAAGUUCAAUAUUUUCCCUUUUCUUCUCUCAUUGUUUCUGACUUCUACAAAAUAAUAGGAAUAUAUUAUAGAAUCCCAUAUCAUUUUUAAACCCAGAGGUUCUUUCUGAUACAGGUUGCAUAGCCUCAGACAAGUUUAACUUCACAGAGCCUCAAUUUCCUGAUCUUUAAAAUAGUCGCAGUAAGGUCUAUUUUCUGGGAUUGUUGAGUCAUUGAAGGAGAUCAUGUUUGUCAGUGCGUAGUAGGGUACAUUGUGCACAAUAAUAGGUGCCUUCCCACUGGACUAUAGAUUCCCUGAGAGAAAGACUGUGCCACCUUGUCUACUACUGUAUGUUCAUACCACUGCAUUGCAGCCUGGUAACAGAGCAAGACCUUGUCUCAAAAACAAAAAAUUGCAAAGGGAGUAGAUUUUGUGUUCUUAUCAUACACACAUACACACACAAAAAGAUAAGUCUAUCCUACUUGAAUUUUCAGAGCCUGCUUAUAUGUAUUGGUUUCAUGUAUCAGUUCUGAAAAAAAUCUCAGAUGCUAUUUAUUCCAUUUUUUCUUUCUUCUCCUUCUGGGAAUCUAAUCACUUUAGGCUUUAUAUCUCUCUUAUCUGUCUUUGUAUUAUAUCUGGAAAAUGUCAUCUUCUCUUUUAAUCUGUCUUCAGUUAUGAAUACAAUAUAUCUCACAGAAGCAUGACAGUCUAGUAGGGUGGUUUUGGAAAAAGCCUAGGAUUCAGGAGCAGGUUUAAGCAACUUAAGCUUUCUCAGCUUCCAUUUUCUCUUCUGUACUUUCAUAAUGCUGAUUUUUAAAAGCACCUAUGUGGAAAGUAAAGGUUCAAUGAAACAGCACAAAUGAAGUGUUUAACAUUUGGUCUGGCAUGUAGCAGUUGCUCAACACAUCUUGUUUAUUAAUGAUAACCACAAUGAUAAUAAUGAAGUAAUAAUGAAUUUAUAUAAUAUUAUUGUGAAAGUUCAUAUGAGUUUUGAUCUUGCCCCUCUCCUCUGUUCAGUGGCUGCAUGGUUUUUAUGAUCUACCUUGUAUGGCUUCAUGUUGGCAGGUGGGAGAUUUUGAUAGACAUAUGAUAGAAUCGGGAGCCCCUAAGACUUGUAUUUUAGUCACAGAAAUGUAUUAGUUCCUCGUGUUGUGAGCUUGAGCAUGUUACUUUGUCUAAGUUAACCUUCCUUGUAAAAAUCAUGAAUAUACCUGCCCUUUCUCCUCCCCUCAACCUCUCCACACCCAGUGAGAGGUCCCGUUGAUAGUGUAUAUGAAGGGGCUUUACAGACUCUGGAGUGCUGUAUACAUGCUAUUUUUUUCUCUCUUUCAAUUGUAGUGGUGUUUUCCCAUUCCCCUUGAAUGACCCAACAUCACACUCCUGGUAAAAUAAAUGCAUUUGUGCAUGAACAUUUGGCAAGUAAUGGGAGUCACAUUUGCAAUAAAUGUUUUCCCUUGAACAGCCAAGUGAGCCACUGCGAGCUGCACUGUAGCAGUGACAUUUACAAUAAUCAGUUUAGAAGAGCAAUUGCCACCUUGACUAUUUUACUAGUAUGGAGUGCUGGAGACUAUUGAGGGUGAUUAGAUCAGCAAACCAGCAAUUUAGUAGAGCCAUCAGAGAAGAGGCUGAAAAUAAAUGAAUAUCUGAGAUCCUGAAUUUCCAAUCAGAUCAAGAAAGAGAAGCAUAAAAGAAUAGGUCCCAUUUAUUUGGGGGAGAGCCAUACACCACUUUGUAUGGAGGUUUCAUUUUCUAGGAACCUUUUCUAGUGCUUUCAACAACAUUGUGAUAUAAGUAGGACUCUUCCCCAUUUUACAGAUGAGGAAACUGAGGCUCAGAGGUUUAAGUCACCAGUCUGCAUCUCCUUACAUUCUGUUUUUCGGAGAAUGGUGCCCUCACCUAUCCAGUGACACAAGCCAAAGUCCUGUGAGUGAGCUCUGGUUU
rnacentral:lncRNA from 10 species